GAUGAAGAACGUAGCGAAAUGCGAUAAGUAAUGUGAAUUGCAGAAUUCAGUGAAUCAUCGAAUCUUUGAACGCACAUUGCGCCCCUUGGUAUUCCGAGGGGCAUGCCUGUUCGAGCGUCAUUAUCACCCCUCAAGCUUUGCUUGGUGUUGGGGCCUGCUGUAAUAGGCAGCCCUUAAAAUCAGUGGCGGUGCUUCAAGGCUCUAAGCGUAGUAAUUCUCCUCGCUAUAGUGUCUAGUGGUUGCCGGCCAGAACCCCCCAAUUUUCAUGAUUGACCUCGGAUCAGGUAGGGAUACCCGCUGAACUUAAGCAUAUCAAUAAGCGGAGGA
rnacentral:misc_RNA from 1 species